AGUUUGAUCCUGGCUCAGAUUGAACGCUGGCGGAAUGCUUUACACAUGCAAGUCGAACGGCAGCACGGGGCAACCUGGUGGCGAGUGGCGAACGGGUGAGUAAUAUAUCGGAACGUGCCCAAUCGUGGGGGAUAACGUAGCGAAAGUUACGCUAAUACCGCAUACGAUCUACGGAUGAAAGCGGGGGAUCGCAAGACCUCGCGCGAAUGGAGCGGCCGAUAUCAGAUUAGGUAGUUGGUGGGGUAAAGGCUCACCAAGCCAACGAUCUGUAGCUGGUCUGAGAGGACGACCAGCCACACUGGAACUGAGACACGGUCCAGACUCCUACGGGAGGCAGCAGUGGGGAAUUUUGGACAAUGGGCGCAAGCCUGAUCCAGCCAUUCCGCGUGCAGGAUGAAGGCCUUCGGGUUGUAAACUGCUUUGUACGGAACGAAACGGUCUGCCCUAAUACGGUGGGCUAAUGACGGUACCGUAAGAAUAAGCACCGGCUAACUACGUG
rnacentral:rRNA from 1 species